rnacentral:tRNA from 1 species
UGGGGUAUAGCUUAGUUGGUAGAGUGCUUGCCUCGAAUGCAUGAGGCCCUGGAUUCGAUCCCCAGCACUAUAU